CCUACGGGGUGCAGCAGUGAGGAAUAUUGGUCAAUGGACGAGAGUCUGAACCAGCCAAGUAGCGUGAAGGAUGACUGCCCUAUGGGUUGUAAACUUCUUUUAUAUGGGAAUAAAAUGUUCCACGUGUGGGAUUUUGUAUGUACCAUAUGAAUAAGGAUCGGCUAACUCCGUGCCAGCAGCCGCGGUAAUACGGAGGAUCCGAGCGUUAUCCGGAUUUUUUGGGUUUAAAGGGAGCGUAGGUGGAUUGUUAAGUCCGUUGUGAAAGUUUGCGGCUCAACCGAAAAAUUGCAGUUGAAACUGGCAGUCUUGAGUACAGUAGAGGUGGGCGGAAUUCGUGGUGUAGCGGUGAAAUGCUUAGAUAUCACGAAGAACUCCGAUUGCGAAGGCAGCUCACUGGACUGCAACUGACACUGAGGCUCGAAAGUGUGGGUAUCAAACAGGAUUAGAUACCCCUGUAGUC
rnacentral:rRNA from 1 species